GCUUCUUUCCCCAGACCUGUUGGUGUGCAUUACAGAGAAACCUCCAGGCUUUUCUGUGGGAAAGAGC